rnacentral:lncRNA from 1 species
UCACUGAUGGUAUGGAAGAAGGGGAAUCUCACACAGGCUUUGGGCUCUUAGAAAUCUACAGUGUCAGUGGACUUUCAUUUUCAGGAAAAUUGAAUGGAAAUACUUUUUCUCUAUUACCUGUGCUAAGUAAAAUUAAAACUCUGGAUAUUGUACAUAAAGCAAGCAUAAGAAGACUCUGAGCAGACCAGCUAGAAACCUCGGAUCCUGAGGAAUGACAAGGUGACCAUAGCAGGCAGAGGAGCAGAAGAACAGAGCAGCAGACACCAGCAGACCUGCAGACCAGCAAUGGCGGAAUGUUGCGGAAGAGAAAGCGAGAAGAGGAGGGACAUCUGGACACUGACGGGAAUUCCGCCAGGGGCCGUCAGAGAAGAGUCUGGCCACUAGGUGGCCCAACUCCAGGGGAAGACCAGCUUCCUACUCCAUUUCCUCCUUCUGGCUCCCUGUCCAUCUUGCUGAGAGCCACCUCCACCACUCAAUCAAACCUUGCACUCAUCCUUUGAGCCCACGUGUGAUCCGAUUUUUCUGGUACACUGGGCAAGAGCUCAGGAUACAGAAAGCUGUCACACUGGCCCUCUGCCCUUGUCUUAAGGCAGAGGGUCUAUUGAGCUGAUUAACACAAGCCAUCCGCAGACAGCAAAGCUGAAAGAGCACACUGUAACACACGCCCAUUUGGGCUUUGGGAGUCGCAGACACUCACCCCUUGAUGCUGCUGUGGGGAUGGAGCCCAAAAGCACUCCCUGCAGCCUCUGCACCUGUUUGUCUGCAUGCUCUUGCUAGGGUUUUAAGCAGCAGGGUGACAGGUCAGUACAGGAAAAGGAUGAUAAAGCAUGAAAAAAGGAACUUUACAGGUGAGGAAACCUGAAUGACUGUAUUAGCUCAUUCUCAUACUGCUAUAAAGAACUGCCCUAGACUGGGUAAUUUAUAAAGAAAGGAGAUUUAAUUGACUCACAGUUCUGCAUGGCUGGGGAGGUCUCAGGAAACUUACAAUCAUGGCGGAAGGGGAAGAGGCAUGUCUUAAUGACGGCCGGCAAGAGAGAGUAUGGAGGAGGAGGAACGGUCAGACACUUAUAAAACCAUCAGAUCUCAUGAGAACUCACUCACUAUCAUAAGAACAGCAUGGGGGAUAACGCCCCAUGAUCCAAUCACCUCCUACCAGGUCUCUCCCUCAACACGUGGGGAUUAUGGGAUUACAAUUCAAGGUGAGAUUUGGGUGGAGACACAAAGCCUAACCAUAUUAAAGACUAAGAAAUGUGAAAAUAAAUUUGAUAUUUCUAGGAACUGGAUAAAUGAAGGUUACAACAAUGAGAUAUUCACGAUCAGUUAGGAAAGGAUUAAAACAAGUACUGAGACAAACAGAGGCUAAGUUUUUAUACCAAUAAUGGGAGUCUAAAUUGAUAUAACAACUUUGGAGAGUAAUUUCCCAAUAUUUGAAAAACAGUGUUGAUGCACACGUCUGAUAUCCUUAGUCAUUCUAUGUUUAGAUACCUGUCCCCAUCAAAUUCUUAUAUAUGGACCAGUUAAUUACUGGGAGGCAACUAUUCAUGGGUCUCUCAAGUUUCUACAUAUUUGCAAGCAAAGUUACAAAUUGUUGUUCUGUUCCAAAUUAUCUUUUCAAGGAUGUUAGUAAGGUAAACAGACUUGGAAGAAAGAGAUCAUGUCUGUAGAGGGCAGGUUUACUUGCUAUUUAGUACAAUUAAAGUAAUGUCUCCCUUUGGAACAAACUUCAGGUAUAUUUGUUUAUGGUGUGUUACAAAAAAAUUAGGCUCCAUAAACUCAGAGUUCUUCAGUUCUAAUGCAAAUCCACUGUGUAUAUAGAAUCCACCUGGGUCUCUACAAGUUGCUCCCAUGGAAACUGGGCACAAAAGAGAAAUGGGUGAAAAUAUGCUAAUUCUCAUGCUGCUUGUUGUGCUAUGAGUAAUAAAAU